rnacentral:rRNA from 1 species
AGAGUUUGAUCCUGGCUCAGAACGAACGCUGGCGGCGCGCSUAAUACAUGCAAGUCGAGCGAGAAGGUGUAGCAAUWCACUUGUAAAGCGGCGAACGKGUGAGGAAUACAUGGGUAACCUMMCCUCGAGUGGGGAAUAACUAGCCGAAAGGUUAGCUAAUACCGCAUWCGAUUCCGGAUCUUCGGUUCCGGAAGGAAASYGAUACCGURGKUAUCGCGCUCCUGGAUGGGCUCAUGUCCUAUCAGCUUKUUSGUGAGGUAACGGCUCACCAAGGCUUCGACGGGUAGCUGGUCUGAGAGGACGAUCAGCCMCACUGGCACUGCGACACGGGCCAGACUCCUACGGGAGGCAGCAGUAAGGAAUAUUGCGCAAUGGACGAAAGUCUGACGCAGCGACSCCGCGUGGGGGAUGAAGGUCUUCGGAUUGUAAACCCCUUUCGGGAGGGAAGAUGGAAUGGGUAACCAUUCGGACGGUACCUCCAGAAGCAGCCACGGCUAACUUCGUGCCAGCAGCCGCGGUAAUAC